GAUGAACGCUGGCGGCGUGCUUAACACAUGCAAGUCGAACGGGAUCCAGGCAGCUUGCUGCCUGGUGAGAGUGGCGAACGGGUGAGUAAUGCGUGACCGACCUGCCCCAUACACCGGAAUAGCUCCUGGAAAUGGGUGGUAAUGCCGGAUGCUCCGACUCCUCGCAUGGGGUGUCGGGAAAGAUUUCAUCGGUAUGGGAUGGGGUCGCGUCCUAUCAGGUAGUCGGCGGGGUAACGGCCCACCGAGCCUACGACGGGUAGCCGGCCUGAGAGGGCGACCGGCCACAUUGGGACUGAGAUACGGCCCAGACUCCUACGGGAGGCAGCAGUGGGGAAUAUUGCACAAUGGGCGCAAGCCUGAUGCAGCGACGCCGCGUGCGGGAUGACGGCCUUCGGGUUGUAAACCGCUUUUGAUCGGGAGCAAGCCUUCGGGUGAGUGUACC
rnacentral:rRNA from 1 species